CUUCGACUGGACGAGUCCCAAAUAGGACGAAACGCGCGUCCUGGAU
rnacentral:hammerhead_ribozyme from 1 species